rnacentral:rRNA from 1 species
ACUUAAUGCCAUAUCAACCUGGCUAUGCCUGAUCUCGUCUGAUCUCGGAAGCAGAGCAGGUUUGGGCCUGGUAAGUACUAGGAUGGGAGACCGCCUGGGAAUACCAGUUGCUGUCAGGG